UCCAACUUUUCCACGGCUCCUCCAUCCUCCCUCUUGGAGGAACAAGUAUCAGCAGAAAAAAUGGCGGAGGCUACUGUGUCCUUUGCUGUGGAAAGGCUAGGCGAUCUGUUAAUUCAAGAGGCAAGUUUCUUAUAUGGGGUUACUAAUGAAGUUGCGGAAAUUCAGGCUGAGCUUAGGUGGAUGAAAUGUUUUCUCUAAAGGAUGCGGAUGCAAAACAAGAUGAAGAUGAGAUGAUUUGCAAUUGGAUUGCUGAAAUUAGAGAGGCUGCAUAUGAUGCUGAAGACGUCAUAGAGGCUUUUGCCUUCAGAGUUGCGCUGAGGAGGAGAAGGGGUCUCCAAAAUAUCCUCAAGAGGUAUGCUUUCAUCUUCUCUGAACUUAUGGCAGUCCACAUGGUUGGGACAGAGAUUGAUGCCAUAAAAAACAAACUCUCCAGUCUCACUGCAAGUUUACAAAGGUAUGACAUAAAUAAAAUUAGAGGAGGAAGCUCAAGUUCCAGAAAUAGCAGGCAACAACUGAUCCGUAGGCCAACUUACUCCCACCUCGAUGAUGAAGAUACAAUUGGGGUGGGGGAAAGUACAAAGAUUUUGGUGGAACGGCUGGUGGAACCAGACAAGAGAUGCUCCGUUGUGUGCAUAUAUGGUAUGGGGGGUCUGGGAAAGACUACUCUUGUUAGAAAGGCUUACCAUCAUGUCCGUGUCAGGCGUCAUUUUGAUCAUUUUGCUUGGAGUUCCAUAUCUCAAUACUUGGACAUCAGAGCUGUUGUGCAAGGAAUACUGAUCAAAUUGACAUCUCCUUCGGGAGAGCAGAGAAGGGAAAUUGACAACAUGAGUGAUGAUGAAGUGUUGGAGAGAUUGUAUAAAAUUCAAGAGGAAAAGAAAUGUCUGGUGGUUCUUGAUGAUGUGUGGAGAAGACAAGAUUGGGAGAGUCUAAGACCUGCCUUUCCAAUUGGAAAGGAGGGCAGCAGGAUAGUGGUCACCACUUGGUGCCAGGCAGCUUCAAUUGUGGAUCCAAACAUGGCUUUCUUUCACCAACCAAAGUUUUUAACAGGGGAGGAGAGUUGGGAGCUUCUUCAGAGAAAAGCAUUGCCAACUGGAAAUGAUAAUGGUACAGAUCCUAGCAUUGACAACGUGGAGGAGUUGGGAAAGGAAAUGGUAAGAUAUUGUGGAGGUUUGCCAUUGGCUAUUGUUGUGCUUGGUGGACUUCUAGCUACAAAACACACAUUCUAUGAGUGGGAGAGAGUUCAUAGAAAUAUUAAAUCAUACUUGAGGAGAGGCAAAGAUAAUUACGAGCAGCAAGGCAGUGGAGUGUCUGAUGUGUUAGCUUUAAGUUAUCAAGACUUGCCAUACUACUUAAAAUCAUGCUUUCUCUAUUUAGCCAAUUUUCCUGAGGACUAUGAAAUACCAACCAGACCUUUGGUUCGAAUGUGGGUGGCUGAAGGGAUUAUAUCAGAGGCAAGAGAAGAAACAUUGGAAGAUGUUGCAGAAGGGUAUCUGGAUGAACUAAUUGGAAGGUGUAUGGUUCAAGCAGGAAGAGUAAGUUCAAACGGAAGAGUCAAAACUUGUUGCCUACAUGACCUUAUGCAAGAUUUAUGUUCAUCAAAGGCAAAAGAAGAAAACUUUCUUGAGAUUAUUAAUCUUCAGGAAGUGGAGACAUUUUCAUCUUCUAGAGUAACAACACUCGUUCCAAAUAAAGUCCGAAGACAUGCCAUAUAUCUAGAUCGAUCUAUUCAUAUGGAGAGUGUUAAUAGAAAUGAAGGCGCUAAUAGCGAUGCCAACUUGAACGUAGAGAAUGGUAUGCACCUUCGAUCUCUCCUAAUAUUCUAUCCACCAACAAAAAAUUCAGUCCACUGGAUGAUGAGGAAGUUGGACUUGAAGAACUUCAAACUAUUGAGAGUGCUAAGUCUUGAGGGACCUUCAUUGGAAGAAAAAUUACCAAGAGCAAUUGGUAACCUAAUACACUUGAAGUACUUAAGUCUUAAAUAUGCUAAGCUAUUAUGCUUUCCAUCAUCCAUAAGAAAUUUAAGUUGUAUCCAAACUUUAGAUUUACGGCUUGUCAGUGUUCAUUGGGUAACUUGCUCUAAAGUACGUGAUGUGAUAGGUAGAAUGAAAUGGUUAAGACAUCUUUGCCUUCCUCAAUAUCUUAAUAUGGAUGACAGCAAGGUGCAAUGGGACAGCCUAAGCAACUUGGAGACGCUAAAAAACUUUAAUGCAAAGCAAUGGGCUGUAAAGGAUUUGGCACACUUGGCCAAGCGUCGGAAAUUGAAGAUAAAUAAUGUCAAAAGCUUUAAAGAGUUGGGGGUAAUUCUCAAACCCUCUUGUCCCAUUUCAAACAACCUUCAUUCCUUGGUUUUGGAUGAUGUAAGUUCCAAAAUUGAAGAAACAGAUCUAAGGUAGUUAUCUAUAUGCCAACAUGUUUAUAAGCUAUUCUUGGGAGGAGAAAUAAACAGUUUGCCUAGGCACCACCACUUCCCUCCAAACCUCAUAAAGUUAACCUUGUGGGAGUCUCACCUAAAACAAGAUCCGAUACCAAUUUUGGAGAAGCUUCUUAACUUGACAACCCUACACUUAAAAGAUUGAUUGUUACUUUGGGGAGGAAAUGGUUUUCUCUGCACAUGGGUUCCCUCGACUCAAGUAUUUGCAUGUCUCCUAUAUCGAUUACUUAAGAAGGUUGAGGGUGGAUAAAGGUGCAAUGCCUAAUCUUAAGAGUUUAACAAUUGUUAGAUGCAAAUCAUUGGAAAUGGUUCCUGAAGGACUAAGGUAUAUCACUACCCUUCAAGCAUUGGAGAUCAAGUAUAUGCACAAAGAGUUCAUGGAGAGGCUUCAAGUGAUAAAUGGAAAAGAAGGGGAAGAUUUUUACAAAGUCCAACAUGUGGCCUCCAUCUCAUUAAUUGUUGAAAAUUCGCAAAGAGGAUUCAAGUGAUAAAUGGAGAAGGAGAGGAUUUCUACAAAGUCCAACUUGGUGCCUUCCAUCUCAUUACUUGGUCAUCCCAUGUGUAAGUCAUUUGUACUUUUACUUUUUCUCCUUCUGCACAUACAAACACACCAAAAAAUUGGCGAGCACCCCAUUUUUCCCCAUGAACUGCUUGACUACAAAUUUUCAUUCUUCAUAUAAAAAAAAAAAAAAAAAAUCUUUCAUGUCAUUAUUAUUCAACCAUUUGUUUGUUUAUUCAAAAUUUCUUGUCUCCUCAUCCUGCUAUUUAUUUCAUUCAAACUAAUAGUGAAUUAAAAAAAAAUUAACCAUUUGAGGAUAAUUUGCUUAAAUAUAGGGGUUUUUAAAUAAUUCAAUUGUUUAAUAGGUAACAAACACAACAUGUAGUGGACCAAGUUCCUUUUCUUUGCCUUAAAAAGUACACAUUGUUUUCAGGGAUUCAACUAUUUAUGGAAAGCUCAUAGAUCAACUGCAAGAUAUGAAAAAUAACUAAGCAUUUGCUUUCUCAACCAAUAUUCCUGGCUGUUUAUGCUUUUUGAUGAGUUUGUGCAUUAAAAAAACAUGUUAAGGACAACAUUUUGUUGUUGCUUUUAAGCACCCAUAGAUUGAAGUUAUAAUCAAAGUUUCACUUAUUUUAACAGCCUUAAAUUGUUGAAAUGCUGCUUCUAACCAUGAUUUUGAUUAUGAGGCACCUAAAGAUGAAGAGAGAAGGAGCAACCACUGAAUGAAAAACUUACUGAUGGAUUUCAUCCAAUAGGCCCUGAUGGUGAAGUGAUGCUAAAUGGCAGCAGUGACUUGUGAGCAGCCAGCCUAAUUGGGAAAUUAGUGUAGUCCUCCAUCUUUCACUGCUUCUUGCCCGGUACUCUUUUACCAAGUAGAAUGAGUGCGGUGGUAGAUGAAAUUCAACUGUCUGUGAUCUGAAAACAAUGUUCUCUCUCUCUCUCUCUCUCUCUCUCUCUCUCUCUCUCUCUCUCUCUCUCUCUCUCUCUCUUUCUCUCUCUCUUUCUCCUCUUAAUAGUUGGUGCGUUGCCUGUCAAAGGACAGCUUUGCUGUCCACACCUUCCUUAUUUUAGCC